UCAAUAUUUCCAAAGUCAACUCAUAUAUCCCCAUAAUAAGGGUGGGAGUAUCUACCGAGAACCAUAAAUUUUCGACUAUGAGUGAUUAUUAAUAAUGC
rnacentral:ncRNA from 18 species